CAGGACCCUGAGAUGGUGACCUGACCUGAAACCAAGAGUCAGCCACUUAAUUGACUGAGCAACCCAGGCGCCCUUAUUUUGAAAAAUUUUAAAAACAACCAAGUCUCACUUUUCAAUAAUGCAAAAACAAUUUUUUUUUCAGGCUCUGAUUCAAAGAUGCCCUCUGUGUUUGGGUAUGUUUGCCUCCGAGCAGACACAGAAGGGGCUAUGGACUUGGAGCUGCCCCCUGGGGCUGGUGGCAGCUGUGCGGUGAGACGUGACCAAGGGCUACCUACAGACCAGGAGGCUGAUUACAAAUGCAAGUCCCCCCAACAACACAGAAUAACAGAAAGAACCACCCUAGGAGUAGAGUCUUAGAGCCACAAAUGACCUUGAAGAGGAUUUCAUCCAGCCUGCCUUCAACAGAACAGAACAGAGCAAAACACUGGAGAGCUGGUGUGACUUUCUAAAGGACAUAAAUGAGCCAAGAAGAGAAGAUCUGGUCUUAAUCUAAUGUUCCACUGACUGUAGCCUAGUGACCUAUUUGCAACCAAGGGUAAAUAUUUGGUUUUUCACCUGCUUUGAGAACAUGUGAAAAGUUACCGAAUGAAAAUUUCAGAUAUUCAU
rnacentral:lncRNA from 12 species